rnacentral:rRNA from 18 species
AAAUGACUCUCGGCAAUGGAUAUCUUGGCUCUUGCAUCGAUGAAGAACGUAGUGAAAUGCGAUACUUGGUGUGAAUUGCAGAAUCUCGUGAACCAUUGAGUCUUUGAACGCAAGUUGUGCCCGAGGCCUUGCGGUCGAGGGCACGCCUGCUUGGGCGUCAUUG